rnacentral:rRNA from 1 species
GAGUUUGAUCGUGGCUCAGGAUGAACGCUGGCGGCGUGCUUAACACAUGCAAGUCGAACGAACCUUCGGGUUAGUGGCGGACGGGUGAGUAACGCGUGAGAAUCUGCCCUCAGGAGGGGGAUAACGGUUGGAAACGACCGCUAAUACCCCAUAUGCCUACUGGUGAAAUGAAUUUCGCCUGAGGAUGAGCUCGCGUCUGAUUAGCUAGUUGGUGAGGUAAUGGCUCACCAAGGCUUCGAUCAGUAGCUGGUCUGAGAGGAUGAUCAGCCACACUGGGACUGAGACACGGCCCAGACUCCUACGGGAGGCAGCAGUGGGGAAUUUUCCGCAAUGGGCGAAAGCCUGACGGAGCAACGCCGCGUGAGGGAGAAGGCCUCUGGGCUG